AUGUAGCCUAAAAUGGUACUUGGGUGUAGGAACCAUUUUCUAUUAAAAUGAUUUCGUAUGAGAAUUUUGAAUACUCCAUUGAAUCCAAAAUAUCUGGUUUAUUUUUAUCGAAUUCUGAACGAAUCCUGAGUACCCCGUCUUGCAGCAUAGCAAUACCAACAACCCUUUUUUGGGGGUUUGGUCUCAGCUUUAAAACCCCAUAACUUGGGCAUUAGAGCUUCGAAUUGGGUGAUUCAAAAGGCAAACUGUGAGAGUUUUCGAGGAGAAUGCAUAGGAGAACUUGAAAACUGAUUUGGAACAUUCAAUUUAGAGGUUAUCUUGCAUGGAAUUUUGAGGAGAACAUCUUGGAGGUAUCAGAAUCUGCUUUUGGCAUGCUGUUUCAGUGUGACAAUAUUCUGAGGCAGUUUGGAAGAGAAAAGCUCCUACACGGUGAUUUGAGGCUCAGGUGUUUAGCCUACAGGAUCGAGCACUAGCUACUGUCGUGGAUAGAUCGAGCCUAUUGCAAUCAGCUUUAGAGACUAGGGUACCUCAUGAUAAAGUUGUAGGUCACAACCAUUAGUCACAUUUUCAGAGAAGAAAAUCAAGUGGCGGACAAGCUAGCUAAAGAGGGAUGGAGGCACUCUUUUUUGGAGGAAACAAACCUACUAGAAGUUCCACCGGUGUGUGCCGUAGAUGUUUUUGAGACAGACACUCUAGGAACUAUUUAUACUAGGUGUAUCAAAGCAUAUAAUUUUAACAAUUUAGGCCAAGUUAGGCCUCUAACUAUGUACCGGUAUAACCCAAAAACAAUUUGCAAUGUUGUAGUAGCGUAAUAUAAACUCUCCUAUUACCAAAAAAAAG